UUGAUGAGUAUAGUCUAUCCAAAAAUAUAUUUAGGUUGAUAAUAUUUGCCCAAAGCAAAGGCCCACGGACAAAGACCCAUGUGAGUUUUUUUUUUUACCAUCAAGAAAAGAUUUUGAUCGAGCUGUAAUGGCAUCAAGGAAAGGUUUUGAUUGAGUUGUAAUCAGCUCAUCGCAUUACAUUCCACUAAAGACUCCCUUAGUUGAGCUGGAACACAAGGGAAAGGUUUAAAGGAUACCAAAUCAGAAUUGCCUACAAAUUAGACCCAUUCUGCUCCGUCGUAAUACCUCGUACAAUCUUUCUCAAAGUUCACCUGAUGUCAAGACCCAACAAUCUAAAACAUUCAAAAAUGGCAUCUUGUUUUAGCUUAUCAUCACGAACUUCCAUGUCAAAAAGAUUUAGCAAUCAGCAGCAUCAGCGAAGCCAUUCAAUUUCAUGCACAGAUUAUGAAAUCAGGAAUCCGAAUACGUAAAGACCUCCAGCUCUUGUUCCUUCCCAUGACCAUCACGACUCGACCCAUCAAAAAAUGGAAGAUAGAUUCAUGGGUUGAUUCUAGAAGUUGUUCUGACAUUGGUUUGUUUUGUGCAAAACUCCUUGAUUCACAUAUACUCGAUGUUUGGCGACUUGGGUCUUGGAUACGAAGUGCUUGUUGAAAUGUCUUUGAGAGAUUUAGGUUCAAUUUGACUUUUGUUACUUACGGGCUCGGUGAAAAUGAGUGUUUUCUGUGAAGCUCAUCGUCUGUUAGUUGCAUUUAUUUAGUUUGAUAUUGAUUAGUAGAGAGCCUGAUUUUAACUCCGUUGUUAGCAUCUUUCUGGGUUAUUCAUUUGACAGAAGGCUUUAUAUAUUGUCUUUUCUAUUAAAACUUUUAGAUACUAUUGAGGCUAUUAGAUUGUUUUAGCUAUGCUGGAAGCUGAGGAUGAGAUUAGACGAUGCCACGGUUGUUGCUUAUGAGAGCAUGCUCCGAUAUUGAGGCUUUGAUGAUGGGAAGAAGAGUGCAUUAAGGCAGAGGUUAAGGAUUGAUGGGGUAAUCCAUGAAUUUGCAGCGGGAGAAUCAGGUCAUCCUGAAACCGGAAGUGUCUGGUGGAAAUAAAAUAUUGUCCACCCAAACAAGAAGGAUUUGAACCAAAACUUCCGGAGAUUUUGCUUUAAGUAGGGAUAAUGCAAAGUUCCUCAAUUACAAGUUACAACACCACAUUGAAAAACUAGCUCCGAUGCAAAUUCCGACAUUCAGAUUCUUGAAAAUUGAUUGGUCCUGUGAGGAGUGUCAUGAGUUUAUGAAACUGGUUUCAAAGAUAUACCGAAGAGAAAUAAGAAUGAAGGGUAGAAUCCGUUUCCACCAUUUCAGGGAUUAGUAUUUCCUUUUCCAAGGACCAAUGGUAGCAGGGAGAUGGUUGAUUUUUUUCCUUGAGCAAUACUGAUGAGAACUGAGAAGCUCAAAAGUUAUAAUAAGUUGCAAACUGAGGAUAUCCAAUAUUAUUACUCACAAUUGCAACACAAAACUUUGUCCCAAUGAUAAAAAUACCAAAGAUCAAGUAUGUUUCCUGAGUUUUAUCUUUAAUACAAAGUAUAUGGGGUUUAUAUCUCUAGUCUCCUCUAAUAAAAGUAAUUUUAAGAGAACUGCUAUGACCCUCCACUUAAUCAAUACACCAUGUUAGACUGGCUUAAAAGAAUGCUACUAAAUCCAGCGCUUGAUUAUUUUAUGCAACUAUUCGCAAGUCCUUGUAUCUGAGAAGAACUUCCAACAUUUUUGGCUCUUCUUGAACGAAUUUGAUGAUUAACGGAAUACUUUUGAACUUGUGACUGAUUACUUUAGUAACUAGUUUCUAUAAUGUCAUUUCCUCAGGUUGUCUAGCUUAUAGUUCAGGUUGGAUGGGACUGUUCUUUUGUAAGUACAUUCAAUUGAUUCCAUGUUGGAUAGGAUUCAAAGUAUACUACUUGAAUCUAGUGGUUGAUUACUUUAUGCAAGUUGCAACUAGUAACCAUAAAGCUUUCAUCCCAAUUCAUCUUUCUCAUAGGUCGCGUGCUCACUCAGCCAAAAUACACUACUGAAUCUAGUGAUCGAUUACUUUAUGUAACUAUACACCAUAAAGUGUCUGCAGCCUGAUUCGUCUAGCUCGUACGACGCGCUCACACAGCCAAAAUAAGUAGGUUUGUAUUGAAAUGCAUUGACCAUGAUAUGUGGAUCCAUUCCUUUUGCUCUUGUAUUUAUACAUCUAGAAUCCAACUUGUCUUAUUCUAUUAGGAAUUUAGUUUGAAUUCGGUUGAUCCAAUCUGUAGUUGCUAUUGGGAGAUUAACUUCUGGUACAAGUAUUGAAUCUUUCCUAUUCCUGCAAAGCUACUUUGAUGCAGAUAUUGUAUCAACAAGAAUUAUUAAGGACACUGCUUGCCCUCAGAUGCUCACAUGUUUUACCUAAGAUUAUGGAGAAAGGUUUCUUUACAGCCCACAGUUUGGUUUUGGAGAUUCCCCCUCCCCCACCAUAGCCAUUUCUUAAGGUCAUGCAUUAAAGCUUCAUUUUUUAAAGGUAAACCACUUCUUUUAGGUUGGUAGAAUAGUCAAAAGAUCAUGCUAUAAAUUUUGAUAUCUUUUAAAUCAGAUCUCAUUCCCAACUUGUUUCAACUCCUUUCUUGCAACCUGAUACGGUUGAUACCCAAAUAUUGUAGAAACAAACAGAUUGUUCCAUGAGAUUAAUCGAUGUGCUUAGACACACACGGAUACAAAAAGCUUUAAAGAAACAUUAUUUCUUA